rnacentral:rRNA from 1 species
UACGAAGGGGGCUAGCGUUGCUCGGAAUCACUGGGCGUAAAGGGUGCGUAGGCGGGUCUUUAAGUCAGAGGUGAAAUCCUGGAGCUCAACUCCAGAACUGCCUUUGAUACUGAGGAUCUUGAGUUCGGGAGAGGUGAGUGGAACUGCGAGUGUAGAGGUGAAAUUCGUAGAUAUUCGCAAGAACACCAGUGGCGAAGGCGGCUCACUGGCCCGGUACUGACACUGAGGUGCGAAAGCGUGGGGAGCAAACAGGG